rnacentral:rRNA from 1 species
ACGGCUCAGUAACACGUGGAUAAUCUACCCUUAGGACCGGGAUAACCCUGGGAAACUGGGGAUAAUACUGGAUAGGCAAUUUUUCCUGUAAUGGUUUUUUGUUUAAAUGUUUUUUCGCCUAAGGAUGAGUCUGCGGCCGAUUAGGUAGUUGGUUAGGUAAUGGCUUACCAAGCCGUUGAUCGGUACGGGUUGUGAGAGCAAGAGCCCGGAGAUGGAACCUGAGACAAGGUUCCAGGCCCUACGGGGUGCAGCAGGCGCGAAACCUCCGCAAUGUGAGAAAUCGCGACGGGGGGAUCCCAAGUGCCAUUCUUAACGGGAUGGCUUUUCAUUAGUGUAAAGAGCUUUUGGAAUAAGAGCUGGGCAAGACCGGUGCCAGCCGCCGCGGUAACACCGGCAGCUCUAGUGGUAGCAAUUUUUAUUGGGCCUAAAGCGUCCGUAGCCGGUUUAAUAAGUCUCUGGUGAAAUCCUGUAGCUUAACUGUGGGAAUUGCUGGAGAUACUAUUAGACUUGAGACCGGGAGAGGUUAGAGGUACUCCCAGGGUAGAGGUGAAAUUCUGUAAUCCUGGGAGGACCGCCUGUUGCGAAGGCGUCUAACUGGAACGGUUCUGACGGUGAGGGACGAAAGUUAGGGGCGCGAACCGGAUUAGAUACCCGGGUAGUCCUAACUGUAAACGAUGCGGACUUGGUGUUGGGGUGGCUUUGAGCUGUCCCAGUGCCGAGGGGAAGCUGUUAAGUCCGCCGCCUGGGAAGUACGGUCGCAAGACUGAAACUUAAAGGAAUUGGCGGGGGAGCAC